rnacentral:rRNA from 1 species
GGAUUCCCCUAUAACUGCGAUGAGCGGGAAAGCUCAAAUUUAAAAUCUGGCGGUCUUUGGCCGUCCGAGUUGUAGUCUGGAGAAGUGCUUUCCGCGCUGGACCGUGUAUAAGUCUCUUGGAACAGAGCGUCAUAGAGGGUGAGAAUCCCGUCUUUGACACGGACUACCAGUGCUUUGUGAUGCGCUCUCAAAGAGUCGAGUUGUUUGGGAAUGCAGCUCAAAAUGGGUGGUAAAUUCCAUCUAAAGCUAAAUAUUGGCGAGAGACCGAUAGCGAACAAGUACCGUGAGGGAAAGAUGAAAAGCACUUUGGAAAGAGAGUUAAACAGUACGUGAAAUUGCUGAAAGGGAAACACUUGAAGUCAGUCGCGUUGGCCGGAACUCAGCCUUGCUUUCGCUUGGUGCCCUUUCCGGUUGACGGGCCAGCAUCGAUUUCGACCGGCGGAAAAGGGUUGGAAAAAUGGGGCACCCUCGGGUGGGUUAUAGUUCCUAAUCGCAUACCUUGGUCGGGAUCGAGGAUCGCAGCCCGCCGCAGGCAGUUCGCCCAUUUCGCGCUUAGGAUGCUGGCAUAAUGGCUUUAAAUGACCCGUCUUGAAACACGGACCAAGAGUCUAAAUGCCUGCCAGUGUUUGGGUGGAAAACCCGGCGCGUUAUGAAAGUGAAAUUGAAACCUUUGUCCUGGAGGGAUCG